rnacentral:rRNA from 1 species
UUUCAAAAACUAGCCCAAUAAACCCCCUCCCCUAACAAAACCUUCCUUGCUUUAUUUAAAACAAAACAUUUAUAGGACUAGUAUAGGAGAUAGAAAUUCCUUUUUGGAGCUAUAGAGAUAGUACCGCAAGGGAAAGAUUGAAAGAAAAUUUAUUGAGAAAAAAAGCAAAGAUUUCACCUUCUACCUUUUGCAUAAUGAGUUACCUAGACANCUUUUGCACAGAGAACUUAAGUAUAAAAUCCCGAACCCAAACGAGCUACUUAAAGGCAGCUGAAAGAGCCAACUCAUCUAUGUAGCAAAAUAGUGAGAAGACCCUUAAGUAAAGGUGAAAAGCCUAACGAGUUUGGUGAUAGCUGGUUACUCAGUAAAGAAUUUUAGUUCAACUUUAAAUUUACCUAAGGAAUUUUACCCAAAAUGUAAAUUUAAAAGUUAGUCUAUAGAGGUACAGCUCUUUAGACAAAGGUUACAACCUUAAUUAGUGAAUAACUCUUUAUUCCUACCAUAGUGGGCCUAAGAGCAGCCAUCAAUAAAGAAAGCGUUAAAGCUCAACAAAAAAAAAUAUUAUAAUUUCAUAAAAAUUAAUUUCCUAAUUAUAAACUGAGUUGUUCUACCUUUUUGUAGAAGAAAUAAUGCUAGUAUGAGUAACAAGAAAUAAUGUUUCUCCUUGCACAAGCUUAUAUCAGAUCGAAUAAAUCACUGAUAGUUAACAACAUAAUAACUAUAACCCAAUCAAUUAAUUGGUUAUUUAUCUUAUUGUUAAUCCAACACAGGAGUGCUUCAAGGAAAGACUAAAAGAAGUAAAAGGAACUCGGCAAACACAAGCCCCGCCUGUUUACCAAAAACAUCNCCUUUAGCAUAAAAAGUAUUAGAGGCAAAGCCUGCCCAGUGACAUAAUUUGUUUAACGGCCGCGGUCCCCUGCCCGUGCAAAGGUAGCAUAAUCCCUUGUUCUUUAAUUUAGGACUAGUAUGAAUGGCCUAACGAGGGCUUAACUGUUUCUUACUUCCAGUCAGUGAAAUUGCCCUUCCCGUGAAAAGGCGGGGAUAAAAAAAUAAGACGAGAAGACCCUAUGGAGCUUUAGCUAAUAACCCACCAAUGGUAAAUUUCUCCUAUAGGUUCAACAACACUUCUACCUGGGUUUUAAGCUUCGGUUGGGGUGACCUCGGAGAACAAAAAAUCCUCCGAGAGAUAAAAUUAAGACUUACCAGUCAAGACAAUUUUAUCUUUAUUGAUCCAAAUUUAUUUGAUCAACGGAACAAGUUACCCUAGGGAUAACAGCGCAAUCCUACUUAAGAGUUCAUAUCGAAAGUACGGGUUUACGACCUCGAUGUUGGAUCAGGACAUCCAGGUGGUGCAACAGCUACCAAGGGUUCGUUUGUUCAACGAUUAAAGUCCUACGUGAUCUGAGUUCAGACCGGAGUAAUCCAGGUCGGUUUCUAUCUAUUAAGUGUUCCUCCUAGUACGAAAGGACCAGAGAAACAAGGCCUCCUAAUUAUUAGUGCCCUAAAUAAAAAGAUGAAUCUAUCUUAAUCUUUUUAACAUUUUAAUAAGCCCUAGAAAAGGGCUU